rnacentral:rRNA from 1 species
GCCCUUAAGUUUCUUGGAAGUUAGUGGAACAGUCUGGAAAGGCUGGCGGCACAGGGUGAUAGCCCCGUACAUGAAAACGACCUUGAGAUGAAAGCGAGUAAGGCGGGACACGUGGUAUCCUGUCUGAACAUGGGGGGACCAUCCUCCAAGGCUAAAUACUCCUGGCUGACCGAUAGUGAACCAGUACCGUGAGGGAAAGGCGAAAAGAACCCCGGAGAGGGGAGUGAAAUAGAUCCUGAAACCGUGUGCGUACAAGCAGUAGGAGCAGACUUGUUCUGUGACUGCGUACCUUUUGUAUAAUGGGUCAGCGACUUAUAUUCAGUGGCGAGGUUAACCGUAUAGGGGAGCCGUAGGGAAACCGAGUCUUAACUGGGCGACACAGUCGCUGGAUAUAGACCCGAAACCGAGCGAUCUAUCCAUGAGCAGGGUGAAGGUUGAGUAACAUCAACUGGAGGCCCGAACCAGGAUCUGUUGAAAAAGAUUUGGAUGACUUGUGGAUCGGAGUGAAAGGCUAAUCAAGCUCGGAGAUAGCUGGUUCUCCUCGAAAGCUAUU